rnacentral:siRNA from 1 species
GACGCCAACCACCAUCAAACAGG